rnacentral:tRNA from 1 species
GGCUCAGUAGCUCAGUGGUAGAGCAUAGGAUUCAUAAGCCUAUGGUCACAGGUUCAAGUCCCGUCUGAGUCA